CCUAAGUAUCUAACCUCCGGUCUGAUGGAGCUAAUGAAGUUAACAUCAAACGUGAAGCAAAUACAAGAUGAUGUAUUAAAGGAGAUACUUACACUUAAUGCUAACACAGAGUAUCUCCGAGGCUACCUCCAUGGAGCCUAUGACAAAGAGUUAUUCAAGAAGAACGUACCGGUCGUAAGCUACGAUGAUGUUAAGCCAUAUAUCGAACGUGUCGCGAAUGGUGAACCUUCGAAUGUCAUUUCUGGAAAACCCAUUACUAGAUUUCUAUUGAGCUCUGGAACUUCUGGAGGGAAACAGAAGAUAUUCCCUGUUAACAACAAGUUCUUUGAGGACAUGGCAUUUAUCUUCGCUUUACGCUCAUCCCUUAUAUCAAAGCAUAUCGAAGGUGACGAAAAGGGAAAGGUGGUAAUGUUGUUUUUCGCCAGAGAGCAGUCUAUAACUCCAUGUGGUUUGCCCAUUUCUACUUCCGUUACAGGCUAUUUAUUGAGCGACAGUUUUAAGAACCGGCCUUCAAAUUGUUUUACAAGCCCUGACGAAGUGACGUUGUGUCCAGAUGUCAAACAGACUAUGUACUGCCAUCUUCUUUGCGGUCUUCGUCAGAGAGACGAAGUUGUGGCUAUGGCUGCUAGCUUUGCUUCUUCUUUGGUUGGAGCAGUCACAUUUUUUGAGAGCUACUGGAAAGAAAUCUGUAGCAAUAUCCGGUCUGGCAAUGUUAGCGAGUGGAUCACCGACCUUAGUUGCAGAGAGGCUGUUACUAACAUCCUAGGAGGAGGUAAUUCCGAAUUAGCAGAUAAUAUUGAAGAAGAAUGCAACAAAAAAUCUUGGAAAGGUAUAAUCCCACGUCUUUGGCCUAAUGUGAAAUUCAUCCAAAGCAUUGUUACAGGACAAAAUUCUCAAUACAUUCCAAUGUUAGAGUUUUACUCCAACAAAGUGCAUUUGUUCUCCCCCGCAUACGGAUCUUCUGAAACAAUGUUUGGGGUGAAUGUGAAUCCCUUAUGCAAACCAGAAGAUGUAUCAUAUACUUUUAUGCCCAACAUAUCCUACUUUGAGUUCAUACUUGCUGACGAAGGAAACAAAGGUGAAAUUGUUGAUCUUGUGCAUGUCGAGAUUGGGUCCUACUAUGAGCCAUUGAUCACAAACUAUUACGGUGAGUUAUAUAUGUAUGAUAUUCAUAUUACAUACACUACAAGAAAAAGAGGUUUUUAUAGCUGAAUAGGAUAGCGUUUUUUUUCGUUUAUGCUAUGGUUGAUAUAUCAUUUAAUUUUAGAUAGCGUUUCCGAAAUGCAAACGCUAUCUUUAGCUGGACCGAUUUUUUAAAAAAUUUUGUUACAUACUUUACAUAGCACUUCAGGUGAGAAACGCUAUGAUAGCAUAUUUUUAAUAGCACAUAACUCAAAACGUUAUGUUUACCUGUUUGAAUCCCUAAACCCUAAACAAAAUUUUAAAUUCUAAACAUAUUUUUAAACACUAAACUAUAAAAACAAAUCCUAAAUCUCAAAUAUUUCCUAUUCUGAUUUUAAAUGUUAAGUUUAAAUUUAAAAUUUUAUAUUUUCAAAAUCUAGUUUCACUUUAAAUUUCAAACCCUAAAUCUUUAACAUAUUUUCAAACCUUAAACCCUUUAUCCUAUAUCUAAACCUAAUAACAUAAACACUAAAGCUUACCUCAAAAUCUCAAAUCUCAUAUUUUCAAGUUUUAAUAAAAUAAAAGAAAAACUAAAAGAUAACACUUAUAAAAAAUCUAACCCUUAUACUCUCAAAACUCCAAAACCCCUAAAUCAUAAACAUAACCCUUAAAUUUCAAACAUUUAAAAAAUCACCAAAUUCAAAAUCAGAAACAUCUAAACUCUAAAGCAUAAAACAAAAUAAUAAAUUCAAAAUCAUAAACAUAACUCUUAAAUUUUUAUAAUAUAUUAUCUUUAAAAUUAGGCAAAUUAAAGAAUUUAUAAGAAUUGUAGUUGCUUUUUUCUAUGGCCAUUGAUUAAUUCUAAUCUAAGGGUUAAAAUUAUCCUUUAUCAAUCUUCAACCUUCAUUCUUAUUGGUUAAUUUUUUCACCUCAAAGAUCUAUGGCCAUUGAUGAAAUAUAAUCUAAAGGCCACAAUUUGUUCUCUCUCUUUUUCAUUUAUCUAUCCUCUCAUUAACGAAACAUAUCAACUCACUCCAGAUUUGACAAAAAGAAAAUAAAGUCUUUCCAUAUCCUUUUUUUUUCUACGAUGUUUUCUCCUUCUUCACCACUCCCAUUGAUUUUGAUCGACUUCUCCUCCGCCAUGGUUACUCCCUCCCUGUUUUUCAACCGAUGCUCUCAGUCCUCCUCUUCCUGUGGCGAUGAAUCGCACCCUUCCGUAGAUGACAUCAACAAGCCAAUCAUCUGAACGAUCCAACCGAGGACGAUGACGAACACUGGUAGACAACUGUGGGCUGGAGCCGAGGAGAUCGGAUUGGAAGUAUGGUACUUCGGUGGUAAAGAGGAGGUUCCCUACGAAGACCUCCCGAGAUCUGACAAGCGACGUAAGACGACGAGAAAUAAGAAAGAGGAGGAUGUCGUGAGAAGAAGAGGAAGAGGAAAAAAUGUGAAAGUGGAAACGGUUCGAAUCUAUCCUAUGAAAACAAGGAGGAUAACCCCAAAGUAUCUUGUCCUCUUCUAUUUAGUGUUACGACCGCAAGUGUCAUGAGAAGUUGAAUCUGGAACGGAGAAGAUAACAAUGGUGGCUGAGAAGAUUAGAUCUAGGUUUUUUUUAAUUAGGGUUUAGGAUUUUUUAUUUUAUUUAGAUUUAGAUUUUUGUAAUACAAUUUUAAUUUAUAAAUCAAUUUAAAUUUAUAAA